CCGAGUUAGGGUCUUUCGAGGCCCGAUCUCCAACCCUUUGUAUAUCCAUAACCUCACGUUGCCUCGGCGGAGGAGGGAGACCUCGUCCGCCGGUGGAAUCUUCAAACUCGUCUUUAACACGGUUUGUCUGAUGUCUUUUUUAAAUAAAAGCA
rnacentral:misc_RNA from 1 species